GAGUGGAAAUGCUUAUGAAAGCCUAACGAUUAUAUUUAAAGACAGAGCUUUAUCAAGGCUUUCAUCAUGCAUUAUAUUCUGUGGCUCGAAAUGUCAAUAGCACGAAAUUUACCUCAGAGUUUAAAAGGUUCACGGUUCCAGUGUGGGAGAGGAGGAGAUUUUCCUCAAAAAGUGCAUGGGAUGAAUGAUGGUCAAAAGCUGCCCCCUUGACCAAAUCCAUUUCUUCUGCUGGUUAUCCAUCAAUCAGCAGUUCACCUACCCCAUGCCACACAAACUCUUCAUCUCUGCCCUCGUGCACCACUCCUCCACAGCACCAUUCCCUUUCACCUUCCCUCUCUCCAAUCCCAAAUGUGACCAAAGAUAACACAGAAGAGGGCCAGCUGGACUCCUUGGUUGUGGUUGUGGAUUUCAAACAACUUAGACCCAGUAUCCCUAACAUUGGAAAUACCUGCUCCAUGAAUGCAAUACGUUGCAGUGCCUCUUUGACCUUAAGUCUUUUUGCAAUGACAUCAUAAAGCAGGAGCAGAGCUGGAUAUUCCCUAAGCUGCUCAAGUGCUUUACUGACUUGCAUUCAUAUAGGGUAACGGCUCACAGGAGUUUUGUGGUGACAAAGGAAUUCUGAGGAGGAAUUCUGGGGAGAUAGCCAGUGGCUGAGAGAGAAGGCUCUAGUACACAUAAACACUGCCACUCUAGUCUUCACAUUCACAUUGUGUGGACCAAGCACAGCCCGUGUCUCACAAUUCCUCCAUUCCUAUCUCUGCGCACUGUGUUCUGUCCCCUCUGGCACCUGUUUCUCCAUGUAGGAUACCCAAUCAAACAGGGAUGUACUUCCCUCUGUGGUUCUCUAUUUCUCUGUCUCCAAAAGCCAUGUUAGAGGUGGUUAGGGAUGAAAGAUACAACCACCUCUCAGUGGAUUUGGUCCAAAAGGAUAGCCUGGACCUCUAUUUCACGGCUAGAUCCAGUCAUACACCAGCAAUACUCACUCUUCUGUUUUAUCUUCUGAUGACACUAAUAUUUAAGUACUACCCAUAAUACAGUAGAACAGUAAUUCUGACUCUGGAACAUACUUCCUGUAAUACUAACCCAUAUACAAGCACUGACCUUAGUAAAUACUGAGUGAUACUGACUGCCAUAUUGACCCUAGUGCAGAGUGCCUACCGUCUUACUAUGUGACCGAAAUUGACAUGAACACUGAUCCAGGUUCAGAAUAAAUGUGAUCUGCAUCAGAUCCUUGAGUUGAUUUGCUGCUGUGCUGUUACAUUCUUGACAACAGAGCUGAAAAGUGCAUGCAGGAAGUGUUUUGGAAAACAGGCUUCUCUAUCCUUGAUGUUCAACUAAUCUUCUUGGUAAAGUAUUGCCUAAUUACGUCACUCAUUAUACUGUAAAGCAGGGAUUUCCAUCUCUACAGGAGAGCUAUAUGCUGUAUGUUCUUUGUUGCAGAUAAUUAUUGAUCAAUUAAAGCAGUGGAUAUGUUAGCUCAGCUCACCUGGUUUCUUGGGUCUACACAGGUUUUUGAUAUUAAGAUGAAACCGUGUCUGUGACUGUCCUGGUCAUUGGUUGGCUGGAACAGUCAUGGCUGGUUAUGAUUACAGCUCAAAGGAAAGGACCUGAGCAUGUUUUGCUGUUGGAGGUACAUAUGAAAUAUCUCCCUGUCGCUCUGUGCAGAGUCCUCAUUCGCCAGCUGAAACAUUUUUAGGUGGAUGCUCUUGGGAACAUGAAGAAACUGACGAACAGGAUUCCCAUUCCUGUGGAAAUGAAUGUGAACCACCACUGCAGGGAUGGUGUGCAAUCACUUCUCGAACUGGACAAUAGAGAAUGCAUCAGGAGCACAGCCCAGAGGAUCAGCGGCCUUUGCAAUGCAGUCUAGCCUCCCUUUGGCAUUUUGGAGGAUGGAAAAAGAUUGCAUAUGUCAAUGUCAAUAUAUCAACUAUAAACAUAUAUUAUA